rnacentral:misc_RNA from 1 species
UUUCCGUAGGUGAACCUGCGGAAGGAUCAUUAUUGAAUAAACCUGAUGUGGUUGUAGCUGGCCCUUUCGGGAGCAUGUGCACACCCGUCGUCUUUAUCUUUCCACCUGUGCACCUUUUGUAGACCUGGAUGUAACACUUUCCGAGGCAACUCGGUCGGGAGGAAUGCUGUCAGCUUUCCUUGAAUGUCCAGGCCUAUGUUUUCAUAUACCCCAAAGAAUGUAACAGAAUGUAUUAUUGGGCCUUGUGCCUAUAAACUGUAUACAACUUUCAGCAACGGAUCUCUUGGCUCUC